GACGAACGCUGGCGGCGUGCUUAACACAUGCAAGUCGAACGGAAAGGCCCUGCUUUUGUGGGGUGCUCGAGUGGCGAACGGGUGAGUAACACGUGAGUAACCUGCCCUUGACUUUGGGAUAACUUCAGGAAACUGGGGCUAAUACCGGAUAGGAGCUCCUGCUGCAUGGUGGGGGUUGGAAAGUUUCGGCGGUUGGGGAUGGACUCGCGGCUUAUCAGCUUGUUGGUGGGGUAGUGGCUUACCAAGGCUUUGACGGGUAGCCGGCCUGAGAGGGUGACCGGCGACAUUGGGACUGAGAUACGGACCAGAAUCGUACGGGAGGCAGCAGUGGGGAAUAUUACACAGUGGGGGGGAGCCUGAUGCAGAAACGCCGCGUGCGGGAUGACGGCCUUCGGGUGGUAAACAGCUUUCGCCUGUGACGAAGCGUGAGUGACGGUAAUGGGUAAAGAAGCACCGGCUAACUACGUG
rnacentral:rRNA from 1 species